rnacentral:rRNA from 1 species
AUACGUAGGGGGCGAGCGUUGUCCGGAAUGAUUGGGCGUAAAGGGCGCGUAGGCGGCCCGGUAAGUCUGGAGUGAAAGUCCUGUUUUUAAGAUGGGAAUUGCUUUGGAUACUGUCGGGCUUGAGUGCAGGAGAGGGAAGUGGAAUUCCCAGUGUAGCGGUGAAAUGCGUAGAGAUUGGGGGGAACACCAGUGGCGAAGGCGACCUACUGGACUGUAACUGACGCUGAGGCACGAAAGUGUGGGGAGCAAACAGGAUUAGAUACCCUGGUAGUCCACGCAGUAAACGAUGAUGGCUAACCGCUGGGCUUAUCAGUUCAGUGGCCAAGCGAAAGCGAUAAGCCAUCCACCUGGGGAGUACGGCCGCAAGGUUGAAACUCAAAGGAAUUGACGGGG